rnacentral:tRNA from 1 species
GUCCCUGUAGCGCAAUGGAUAGCGUGCUGGACUUCUAAUCCAAAAGUCAUGGGUCAAAAUCCCACCUGGGAUG